GAUGAACGCUGGCGGCGUGCCUAAUACAUGCAAGUCGAGCGAACAGAUAAGGAGCUUGCUCCUUUGACGUUAGCGGCGGACGGGUGAGUAACACGUGGAUAACCUACCUAUAAGACUGGGAUAACUUCGGGAAACCGGAGCUAAUACCGGAUAACAUAUUGAACCGCAUGGUUCAAUAGUGAAAGGCGGCUUUGCUGUCACUUAUAGAUGGAUCCGCGCCGUAUUAGCUAGUUGGUAAGGUAACGGCUUACCAAGGCAACGAUACGUAGCCGACCUGAGAGGGUGAUCGGCCACACUGGAACUGAGACACGGUCCAGACUCCUACGGGAGGCAGAAGUAGGGAAUCUUCCGCAAUGGGCGAAAGACUGACGGAGCAACGCCGCGUGAGUGAUGAAGGGCUUCGGAUCGUAAAACUCUGUUAUCAGGGAAGAACAAAUGUGUAAGUAACUGUGCACAUCUUGACGGUACCUGAUCAGAAAGCCACGGCUAACUACGUG
rnacentral:rRNA from 1 species